UACGUAGGGUGCAAGCGUUAAUCGGAAUUACUGGGCGUAAAGCGUGCGCAGGCGGUUUUGUAAGUCUGACGUGAAAUCCCCGGGCUCAACCUGGGAAUUGCGUUGGAGACUGCAAGGCUGGAGUCUGGCAGAGGGGGGUAGAAUUCCACGUGUAGCAGUGAAAUGCGUAGAGAUCGGGAGGAACACCGGUGGCGAAGGCGGGUCUCUGGGCAAUUCCUGACGCUGAGGCGCGAAAGCGUGGGGAGCAAACGGG
rnacentral:rRNA from 1 species